GACGAACGCUGGCGGCGUGCUUAACACAUGCAAGUCGAACGGAAAGGCCCUGCUUUUGUGGGGUGCUCGAGUGGCGAACGGGUGAGUAACACGUGAGUAACCUGCCCUUGACUUUGGGGUAACUUCAGGAAACUGGGGCUAAUACCGGAUAGGAGCUCCUGCUGCAUGGUGGGGGUUGGAAAGUUUCGGCGGUUGGGGAUGGACUCGCGGCUUAUCAGCUUGUUGGUGGGGUAGUGGCUUACCAAGGCUUUGACGGGUAGCCGGCCUGAGAGGGUGACCGGCCACAUUGGGACUGAGAUACGGCCCAGACUCCUACGGGAGGCAGCAGUGGGGAAUAUUGCACAAUGGGCGGAAGCCUGAUGCAGCAACGCCGCGUGCGGGAUGACGGCCUUCGGGUUGUAAACCGCUUUCGCCUGUGACGAAGCGUGAGUGACGGUAAUGGGUAAAGAAGCACCGGCUAACUACGU
rnacentral:rRNA from 1 species